UGACUAAAAAGGAUCCCGCCCACUGAACUGGCAGGCAGCAGUUCAGUACAGGCUGUGAUACAGCAGCCAGACGGAGAAGCAGGGAGAAGGUAAGCAGCAGUUAGCUAGUAUUGAAGUCUAUCUCGAAUAAAGCAUCGUUUUCUCUGUAUUUUGUGGAAUAACGGUGGUUUAGCUAACGAUAUUUUCACAUGUGAUCUUUUACAGGAGUCCUGGAAGAAUGUAAUUAGCUGCAGAAUAAGUCGUUUUGUGGAAACAUUGUCUGUCCUUUGCUGUCUAUCCUAACAGCAGCAAAGCAUCAUUUAACGUCUUCAUUUGACACAGUACCAGUCAAAAGCUUGAGCAGACUGUCCUGCAGGUUAACUAGCAUGUUAACCUAUUAAGCUUCUGUUACUUGUUAUUGUAACAGAUGAAGGUUUAGUGUACGUUUUUCUACACUACUGUGCAAAAAUCAGAAACUAUACUAAAAGCUAUAAAAAUGAAAACCAAACAGCAUUCUAAGGAAUUCAGAGAUAAGGUUAUAGACAUGCACAAGGAAGGACAUGGCUACAAAAAAAUAGCCAAGUGUUUGGAUAUUGCAAGUGUCAGCAAGUGUAAUCUUUUCUGAUUGAUAUUUCUCUGUUGAAGUUAUGUUUUAUGUUUUAUUUGUAAGGUUUUUUUUAUUCUGUAUUUGAUCUGUUUUUUGUUUUUUUAUUUGCUUUCAUUAUUCUGAAGUGUUUGAUGUAAAGACUGUUAGGCCUACAUUAAAUGCAUUAAAUCUGAGCAUUAACAUUU
rnacentral:lncRNA from 1 species